rnacentral:ncRNA from 1 species
AGCGGGGAGCUUGUAUGACAGGCUGAGAGGAAGGUAUGACCUUCGACCCAUAACCUGAUUUGGAUAAUGCCAACGUAGGGAAACGGAAAAUUUA